CCGACGACGGUUAUUCCGUGAAUGUUGUUCACGUAACGCGCCCGCCGAGUGUUGCCAACUUUCCCGCUCAUAACAAUUGCCGCCAAGCUUUCGGCGAUAUUUUCUUUUGUGCAAGUGAUUUACAAAAAUUUUGGUGUACAAGUGAAGUGUCUAAAUCUAAUUGGAAUUCAUUUGGAUUCAAAAGCUGCCACCUUUGAUUGGAUUUGAAACCGGAUAUUCUCUGCACAUUUCAAGCGAGCGAGUGCCAACGCGAGCGCACCCGUGCUUCCGCUUCCGGUGGCGCGCCCGCGCAGCAUCCGCGACCAACCAACCGGCACGACCUACCUGCUGCUACCAUCACCGGCCCAUACCUAUCUGCCACAUUCAAAUGCUGCCCUACAAGUUUUGAAGAAAACGAUUGAAGAAGUAUCUAAACAAAAUGUCUGCCUAAUAAUCCACAAUGUUUAGCCAUAACAUAAUGUAUUACAUAUUAAUUAUAUUUCCCUUGUUGAUAUGCAUUAUAUAGUAAAUACUGUGCAUAUGUUACUGUAAAAGCAAUGUAAGUAUUGGAGAUCUCUGCUUAUCACUAGUGAACAUUAUGACCGAAAUAAUUUGAAAGAUGUACGGAUUGUACAAUUGAUUUCGAUUUCGGGCUUAUAAAAUUUGAGUUAGGUGUAUUAUGAUGAGUUUUACUAAAGGUGGUACUAAGCAUCUUCUAACCAAUGAAAAUCAAAUAAAUCCUUAAAAAUUGGUGUUAGGAGUAAAAUAAUGAGUUUUUUGUUUAACAUUUCAUAGGUAAUUUUAUGUUACAUGUGACGUCGUGUUAGGUUAAGUAUUAAGUUAGCGCAUAGAAUUAGAGAAGAUAAAAGUGCCAAGUGCCAAAUGUCAUAUCAGAAACCGUUUAAGAAUUAUAACAUAAUCAUAUAGGUAUUGCUAAUUAGAGAAAUAGAUUUGUUUGAUCUGUCGUUUUCAUUUAGUUCUAGAUAAGCCUUACCAAUUCAAGUUAUACCUACGUUUUAAAUAUUAUUUCACGUCAGAAUUUUGCUAUAGUGUAGAAGAAUUUUCAAGUAGGUACAACGUUUUGUGAUUUAUAAACAAACGUGAACAAAGCACAUAUCUAUUGGGUAAUAGAGAUAUAUUGUCGCUCCCAGAAAUAGAUGUUAUUAUUUAAUAAAUUUAUAUUUAACACAAUGACCAGUGUGAGUGGCAUUUGUUUAUCAAUAAUUUGUAAGGCAAUCCGUCAGAAUAUAUAACCUUUAAAUUACUAACAAUGCUAAUAUAUAUACUAAGAUAUACACCAAUAACAGAAAUGUAACUAAAAAUAAUUUAACUUUUGCCGCGUAUAUCGUAGGAAAACAUCAAAAUUAACAACAAUUACAACACAGUUUAUUUAGACAUACACUAUUGAGUGUUAGUAAUAGACUAUGUUUAGUAUACAAUUAUCAAAUUCAGUUUUAAUAUUAUUUUGACAUAUCCAGGAUAUCUUAAACUCGUAAAAAUGCUUUUAGAUGACGCCGUAUUCCGUACGUAACUAAUGGCAGAAAAAGGCAAAAGCGCUUAAACAAUACAGCCUUGGCAAAUCUAGGAAGAGUCAAUCGAUGACAUAAUACUGAACUUACUAUUCUUUACUUUUUUUUAAAUAGUGAUCAAAUAUUUAACAGAAAUAAGAUAACAAUUUCAAUAAACGAAAAUAAUUAUUAUCAUUAUAACAUAGUAAGAAUUCCUAUAUUAUAUGAAACUACACAAAUAAAAUUUGAAAAACAAAAUUUUAUGCGGGACUCGAACCCACGACCUCCGGCGUUCCGUGCCGGUGUUCUAACCAACUGAACUAACCGUUCGAGUGACGUAUCGUUUCAAAUUCGUGUAUGCUUUGUUCAACUCUCAGGUUGUGGCUUCAUCUAUAUAGGAUCUACUUUACAGUUGACAGCCUGCGCAACCCCAAUAUUUGCAUAUUAGGAAAUUGACUUGAGAUGUCGCUCUUGUAAAUCUAAACAAUUUAUGUUUUUAAAGUGAUGCAAAAACUUUGUUUUUCAAAUUUUAUUUGUGUAUUAAUCCUAGAAGUGAGGGCUAUCACUUUAAAAAUAUAACAAAUUAUUUAUAUGAAACUUUUAGGAAUUCUACCUAAAAUUAUGGAGAUAUCCUGGCGGUGAUGUGAAUCGAGUAACGCCGGAUGAGAAACUAGCGAAUUAUGAAGUAAAUUCUUUGAAUGAUUUGCUAUUUUCUUUGGAUAAUUUUUUGACUUUGUAUUUUUGAUUGGUAUCGGAUAGACUAUUUUUUUUGUUAUUCAUAAUAAUGGAACGCUAUUAGAUCAAUCAUUUUUAUGUUUAACUGAGAAAUCUUAUAGUUUACAUUAUUAACUACUGCUUUUACAGUAACAUAUAAUUAUAAUAUAUAGGUAUUAGACAUAUGAAACGUGUA